rnacentral:rRNA from 1 species
GAUGAACGCUGGCGGCGUGCCUAAUACAUGCAAGUAGAACGCUGAAGGAAGGAGCUUGCUCUUUCCGGAUGAGUUGCGAACGGGUGAGUAACGCGUAGGUAACCUGCCUGGUAGCGGGGGAUAACUAUUGGAAACGAUAGCUAAUACCGCAUAACAGUAGAUGUUGCAUGAUAUCUACUUAAAAGGUGCAAUUGCACCACUACCAGAUGGACCUGCGUUGUAUUAGCUAGUUGGUGAGGUAACGGCUCACCAAGGCGACGAUACAUAGCCGACCUGAGAGGGUGAUCGGCCACACUGGGACUGAGACACGGCCCAGACUCCUACGGGAGGCAGCAGAAGGGAAUCUUCGGCAAUGGACGGAAGUCUGACCGAGCAACGCCGCGUGAGUGAAGAAGGUUUUCGGAUCGUAAAGCUCUGUUGUAAGAGAAGAACGAGUGUGAGAGUGGAAAGUUCGCACUGUGACGGUAUCUUACCAGAAAGAGACGGCUAACUACGUG